GACGUUGAUAGGUCGGGUGUGUAAGCGCAGCGAUGCGUUGAGCUAACCGAUACUAAUGAACCGUGAGGCUUAACCUUACAACGCCGAAGGUGUUU
rnacentral:rRNA from 4 species